rnacentral:rRNA from 1 species
UGCCAGACUCCUACGGGAGGCAGCAGUGGGGAAUAUUGCACAAUGGGGGAAACCCUGAUGCAGCGACGCCGCGUGAGCGAUGAAGUAUUUCGGUAUGUAAAGCUCUAUCAGCAGGGAAGAAAAUGACGGUACCUGACUAAGAAGCCCCGGCUAACUACGUGCCAGCAGCCGCGGUAAUACGUAGGGGGCAAGCGUUAUCCGGAUUUACUGGGUGUAAAGGGAGCGUAGACGGCGAUGCAAGCCAGAUGUGAAAGCCCGGGGCUCAACCCCGGGACUGCAUUUGGAACUGUGUGGCUGGAGUGUCGGAGAGGCAGGCGGAAUUCCUAGUGUAGCGGUGAAAUGCGUAGAUAUUAGGAGGAACACCAGUGGCGAAGGCGGCCUGCUGGACGAUGACUGACGUUGAGGCUCGAAAGCGUGGGGAGCAAACAGGAUUAGAUACCCCUGUA